rnacentral:rRNA from 1 species
UACAGAGGGUGCAAGCGUUGUUCGGAAUUACUGGGCGUAAAGCGUGCGCAGGCGGUUCGUUGUGUCGGUGGUGAAAUCCCCGGGCUUAACCUGGGAAUGGCCAUGGAAACUGGCGAACUGGAGUGCGGCAGAGGGGGGUGGAAUUCCGCGUGUAGCAGUGAAAUGCGUAGAUAUGCGGAGGAACACCGAUGGCGAAGGCAAUCCCCUGGGCCUGCACUGACGCUCAUGCACGAAAGCGUGGGGAGCAAACAGG